AAAGAAAUUGAACCUAACUUUGGACAAACGGCAAAAAUAAAAACCGGCUACCUCAACUCAUCAGGCCCGCCUGACUAAACUCAUCAUACAAAACUGUUGCCAAGGGAACGCCAGACACAUUGAGUUAUGCCGAAGUGUGUGUGAAAGAGUUCAUUCUGAUCUGGUUGGAUUUGAGACAGGCAGUCAUUCUCAGUCGAUUUGUUUCUGGGGAGAGAAUGAGAGCUACGAUCAUGUGGAGUGUAGCCCAGGACAAAGAAUUAGACUAAAGACAAGAGGAGACUCUCUACUGAUAGAGUCAUUCACAAAGCUGGAUAGUGAUCAGCGAGCUCACUCAUCAAACUACACUGGAGGGGAGAAGACAGGACAGAGUUGGACUGAUAAGGUACUCGGACACAAAUCAACUGAUGAACCCAGCCAGGGAACAGGAGGAGGAGGAGAGGUUGAUGAUGAUGAAU